CAGCCGCCGCGUAAUACGAAGGGGGCUAGCGUUGCUCGGAAUGACUGGGCGUAAAGGGCGCGUAGGCGGAUUGUUUAGUUAGGCGUGAAAUUCCUGGGCUUAACCUGGGGACUGCGCUUAAUACAGGCAGUCUAGAGUGAGGAAGAGGGUUGUGGAAUUCCCAGUGUAGAGGUGAAAUUCGUAGGUAUUGGGAAGAACACCGGUGGCGAAGGCGGCAACCUGGUCCUUGACUGACGCUGAGGCGCGAAAGCGUGGGGAGCAAACAGGAUUAGAGACCCCAGUAGUUCCUGUCUCUUAUACA
rnacentral:rRNA from 1 species